rnacentral:rRNA from 1 species
UACGAAGGGGGCUAGCGUUGUUCGGAAUCACUGGGCGUAAAGCGCACGCAGGCGGAUCGUUAAGUCAGGGGUGAAAUCCCGAGGCUCAACCGUGGAACUGCUGGGUAUACUGCCUGUCUUGAGUCAUCUAGGGGCGAGCGGAACAAAUGGUGGAGCGGUGAAAUGCGUAGAUAUCAUUUGGAACGCCAAUGGUGAAAACAGCUCGCUGGGGAUGUACUGACGCUGAGACACGAAAGCCAGGGGAGCAAACGGG